rnacentral:rRNA from 2 species
UGCUGGAGGUAUCAGAAGUGCGAAUGCUGACAUAAGUAACGAUAAAGCGGGUGAAAAGCCCGCUCGCCGGAAGACCAAGGGUUCCUGUCCAACGUUAAUCGGGGCAGGGUGAGUCGACCCCUAAGGCGAGGCCGAAAGGCGUAGUCGAUGGGAAACGGGUUAAUAUUCCCGUACUUGGUGUUACUGCGAAGGGGGGACGGAGAAGGCUAUGUUGGCCGGGCGACGGUUGUCCCGGUUUAAGCGUGUAGGUGUGUGUUCCAGGUAAAUCCGGUUCACUUUAACACUGAGGCGUGACGACGAGGCACUACGGUGCUGAAGCAACAAAUGCCCUGCUUCCAGGAAAAGCCUCUAAGCAUCAGGUAACAUCAAAUCGUACCCCAAACCGACACAGGUGGUCAGGUAGAGAAUACCAAGGCGCUUGAGAGAACUCGGGUGAAGGAACUAGGCAAAAUGGUGCCGUAACUUCGGGAGAAGGCACGCUGACACGUAGGUGAAGUGAUUUACUCAUGGAGCUGAAGUCAGUCGAAGAUACCAGCUGGCUGCAACUGUUUAUUAAAAACACAGCACUGUGCAAACACGAAAGUGGACGUAUACGGUGUGACGCCUGCCCGGUGCCGGAAGGUUAAUUGAUGGGGUCAGCGCAAGCGAAGCUCCUGAUCGAAGCCCCGGUAAACGGCGGCCGUAACUAUAACGGUCCUAAGGUAGCGAAAUUCCUUGUCGGGUAAGUUCCGACCUGCACGAAUGGCGUAAUGAUGGCCAGGCUGUCUCCACCCGAGACUCAGUGAAAUUGAACUCGCUGUGAAGAUGCAGUGUACCCGCGGCAAGACGGAAAGACCCCGUGAACCUUUACUAUAGCUUGACACUGAACAUUGAGCCUUGAUGUGUAGGAUAGGUGGGAGGCUUUGAAGUGUGGACGCCAGUCUGCAUGGAGCCGACCUUGAAAUACCACCCUUUAAUGUUUGAUGUUCUAACGUGGACCCGUUACCCGGGUUGCGGACAGUGUCUGGUGGGUAGUUUGACUGGGGCGGUCUCCUCCUAAAGAGUAACGGAGGAGCACGAAGGUUGGCUAAUCCUGGUCGGACAUCAGGAGGUUAGUGCAAUGGCAUAAGCCAGCUUGACUGCGAGCGUGACGGCGCGAGCAGGUGCGAAAGCAGGUCAUAGUGAUCCGGUGGUUCUGAAUGGAAGGGCCAUCGCUCAACGGAUAAAAGGUACUCCGGGGAUAACAGGCUGAUACCGCCCAAGAGUUCAUAUCGACGGCGGUGUUUGGCACCUCGAUGUCGGCUCAUCACAUCCUGGGGCUGAAGUAGGUCCCAAGGGUAUGGCUGUUCGCCAUUUAAAGUGGUACGCGAGCUGGGUUUAGAACGUCGUGAGACAGUUCGGUCCCUAUCUGCCGUGGGCGCUGGAGAACUGAGGGGGGCUGCUCCUAGUACGAGAGGACCGGAGUGGACGCAUCACUGGUGUUCGGGUUGUCAUGCCAAUGGCACUGCCCGGUAGCUAAAUGCGGAAGAGAUAAGUGCUGAAAGCAUCUAAGCACGAAACUUGCCCCGAGAUGAGUUCUCCCUGAGACUUAAAGUCUCCUGAAGGAACGUUGAAGACGACGACGUUGAUAGGCCGGGUGUGUAAGCGCAGCGAUGCGUUGAGCUAACCGGUACUAAUGAACCGUGAGGCUUAACCUUA